rnacentral:rRNA from 1 species
AUAGGGGAGCCGCAGGGAAACCGAGUCUUAACUGGGCGUUAAGUUGCAGGGUAUAGACCCGAAACCCGGUGAUCUAGCCAUGGGCAGGUUGAAGGUUGGGUAACACUAACUGGAGGACCGAACCGACUAAUGUUGAAAAAUUAGCGGAUGACUUGUGGCUGGGGGUGAAAGGCCAAUCAAACCGGGAGAUAGCUGGUUCUCCCCGAAAGCUAUUUAGGUAGCGCCUCGUGAACUCAUCUUCGGGGGUAGAGCACUGUUUCGGCUAGGGGGUCAUCCCGACUUACCAACCCGAUGCAAACUACGAAUACCGAAGAAUGUUAUCACGGGAGACACACGGCGGGUGCUAACGUCCGUCGUGAAGAGGGAAACAACCCAGACCGCCAGCUAAGGUCCCAAAGUCAUGGUUAAGUGGGAAACGAUGUGGGAAGGCCCAGACAGCCAGGAUGUUGGCUUAGAAGCAGCCAUCAUUUAAAGAAAGCGUAAUAGCUCACUGGUCGAGUCGGCCUGCGCGGAAGAUGUAACGGGGCUAAACCAUGCACCGAAGCUGCGGCAGCGACACUAUGUGUUGUUGGGUAGGGGAGCGUUCUGUAAGCCGUUGAAGGUGGCCUGUGAGGGUUGCUGGAGGUAUCAGAAGUGCGAAUGCUGACAUAAGUAACGAUAAUGCGGGUGAAAAACCCGCACGCCGGAAGACCAAGGGUUCCUGUCCAACGUUAAUCGGGGCAGGGUGAGUCGACCCCUAAGGCGAGGCCGAAAGGCGUAGUCGAUGGGAAACAGGUUAAUAUUCCUGUACUUGGUGUUACUGCGAAGGGGGGACGGAGAAGGCUAUGUUGGCCGGGCGACGGUUGUCCCGGUUUAAGCAUGUAGGCGGAUGUUCCAGGUAAAUCCGGAACGUCACUAACGCUGAGGUGUGAUGACGAGGCACUACGGUGCUGAAGUGACAAAUGCCCUGCUUCCAGGAAAAGCCUCUAAGCAUCAGGUAACAUCAAAUCGUACCCCAAACCGACACAGGUGGUCAGGUAGAGAAUACCAAGGCGCUUGAGAGAACUCGGGUGAAGGAACUAGGCAAAAUGGUGCCGUAACUUCGGGAGAAGGCACGCUGAUGGUAGGUGAAGUGACUUGCUCAUGGAGCUGAAAUCAGUCGAAGAUACCAGCUGGCUGCAACUGUUUAUUAAAAACACAGCACUGUGCAAACACGAAAGUGGACGUAUACGGUGUGACGCCUGCCCGGUGCCGGAAGGUUAAUUGAUGGGGUUAUCCUCACGGAGAAGCUCUUGAUCGAAGCCCCGGUAAACGGCGGCCGUAACUAUAACGGUCCUAAGGUAGCGAAAUUCCUUGUCGGGUAAGUUCCGACCUGCACGAAUGGCGUAAUGAUGGCCAGGCUGUCUCCACCCGAGACUCAGUGAAAUUGAACUCGCUGUGAAGAUGCAGUGUACCCGCGGCAAGACGGAAAGACCCCGUGAACCUUUACUAUAGCUUGACACUGAACACUGGUCCUUGAUGUGUAGGAUAGGUGGGAGGCUUUGAAGUGUGGACGCCAGUCUGCAUGGAGCCGUCCUUGAAAUACCACCCUUUAAUGGCUGGUGUUCUAACGUGGGCCCGUGAUCCGGGUUGCGGACAGUGUCUGGUGGGUAGUUUGACUGGGGCGGUCUCCUCCUAAAGAGUAACGGAGGAGCACGAAGGUCAGCUAAUCCUGGUCGGACAUCAGGAGGUUAGUGCAAUGGCAUAAGCUGGCUUGACUGCGAGCGUGACGGCGCGAGCAGGUGCGAAAGCAGGUCAUAGUGAUCCGGUGGUUCUGAAUGGAAGGGCCAUCGCUCAACGGAUAAAAGGUACUCCGGGGAUAACAGGCUGAUACCGCCCAAGAGUUCAUAUCGACGGCGGUGUUUGGCACCUCGAUGUCGGCUCAUCACAUCCUGGGGCUGAAGUAGGUCCCAAGGGUAUGGCUGUUCGCCAUUUAAAGUGGUACGCGAGCUGGGUUUAGAACGUCGUGAGACAGUUCGGUCCCUAUCUGCCGUGGGCGCUGGAGAAUUGAGGGGGGCUGCUCCUAGUACGAGAGGACCGGAGUGGACGCAUCACUGGUGUUCGGGUUGUCAUGCCAAUGGCAUUGCCCGGUAGCUAAAUGCGGAAGAGAUAAGUGCUGAAAGCAUCUAAGCACGAAACUUGCCCCGAGAUGAGUUCUCCCUGACUCCUUGAGAGUCCUGAAGGAACGUUGAAGACGACGACGUUGAUAGGCCGG